AGACCCGAAACCCGGUGAUCUAGCCAUGGGCAGGUUGAAGGUUGGGUAACACUAACUGGAGGACCGAACCGACUAAUGUUGAAAAAUUAGCGGAUGACCUGUGGCUGGGGGUGAAAGGCCAAUCAAACCGGGAGAUAGCUGGUUCUCCCCGAAAGCUAUUUAGGUAGCGCCUCGUGAAUUCAUCUCCGGGGGUAGAGCACUGUUUCGGCUAGGGGGCCAUCCCGGCUUACCAACCCGAUGCAAACUGCGAAUACCGGAGAAUGUUAUCACGGGAGACACACGGCGGGUGCUAACGUCCGUCGUGAAGAGGGAAACAACCCAGACCGCCAGCUAAGGUCCCAAAGUCAUGGUUAAGUGGGAAACGAUGUGGGAAGGCCCAGACAGCCAGGAUGUUGGCUUAGAAGCAGCCAUCAUUUAAAGAAAGCGUAAUAGCUCACUGGUCGAGUCGGCCUGCGCGGAAGAUGUAACGGGGCUAAACCAUGCACCGAAGCUGCGGCAGCGACGUUUAUGCGUUGUUGGGUAGGGGAGCGUUCUGUAAGCCUGCGAAGGUGGCCUGUGAGGGUUGCUGGAGGUAUCAGAAGUGCGAAUGCUGACAUAAGUAACGAUAAAGCGGGUGAAAAGCC
rnacentral:rRNA from 1 species